GGGGCCGUAGCUCAGUUGGGAGAGCGCUGCGUUCGCAAUGCAGAGGUCAGGGGUUCGACUCCCCUCGGCUCCACCA
rnacentral:tRNA from 1 species